CAGGGGGCGCCGUCGUGAGGGGACCCAGCGGAGCGGGACGCCGCGGCGGGAGCAGCCCCGUUUCCAGGCCAGGACGGUUUGGGCUGCACAGGCGGGGCGUUCCCUGGACGCGGGGACGUGGUCUUGGCACCCAAACCCACAGACUGGAUGACCCACGGACUGUCAGCCGUUCCUGGGGCUCUCCAAAGAGGGGGCGCAGGGAGGAGAGGCUGGUUACUGCCCUAAUCGUGUUUCUUCUGGUUCCCAGCUUCGGGUAUCGGCAGUUACUCUGAAGAAUGCUUUCUGCUGCUUCCUUCAAAAACCCAAGAGCUGCAGCUGGUUCCCAGUGGGGCCGGAGCUGGGGGGGAUCGCGUCCCCCAUGCUGCUGGGGGCAAGCGGGACUGGGACCAGAACUGGUGCAGCGGUUCUUCAGGUCACCCAAACAAGAAGAGCCUGUCUGUAGGCGUUCUGGCCCAAACAGAGUGUUUUAUUGUGCCGUGUCCAUCUCCGAGCCCUCCCCGUCCGUGUGCCUGACCCGGCAGCCCCUCAGCCGCUGGCUUUUUGCCGGGAGCCCGCAAGCGACCGCGGGCAGACGCGGCGCUGGCUGUCGGCCGCGACGUUUCCCGGCUGCGGGAGCUGCCGUCGCCGCGCUGCCUGCGCUCUGGCAGCUCCCCGGGGCUCUGCUGCGUGCCGGGCAUGAGGGCUGCUUGCUCACGGGGCUGCCGGCAUCGGGGCAGCCGCGGCUCGGGGGAACUGGCCGACGCCAUGGCUGCUCCCAGCACUGGUGAGCGGGGACUUUGCUCGGGGAGGGGGAGGAGUGGAGCUCCUGGGGGUCUGGGGCUACCGCAGAUCCAUCCCUCAGCCGCAGUCCCGGGGGCUGAUGCCUCCCUGCAGGGCUCGCUCUGAGAGGCCUCGGGGGGAGCUGCGGCAUGUGCUGCACAUGCCCCCUGCCCGGGGUGUGUUAAGAAAAUGCUCUUCCUUAACGAUGACAUCGGUUGGUCUUUAUCAUAUGAAAGCGUAUUAACUUUGCUGAUCUCUACUA
rnacentral:lncRNA from 1 species